rnacentral:rRNA from 1 species
AUUGAUCUGGUGCACGAUGCACGUAUAUAUGGGUACAAAGGCAGCCCUCCCCACUCAGCCUCAUCUAUACAAGAAAACUAGAGGCGGGGCCGGUAGGAGAUUAUCCUAACAGAUACAUGCACAGAUAUGUUUAACAAAAAUGAUCUUGCAAAUUCGAACUAUUUCAUUCUAGACAUGAAUCAUCAACACAACUAGGGAAUUCAGUGGAAACUCUGCUGGGAUUAGCCACUGAACUAAUUCAGUAAGUACCGGUGAGGAAACAAAACGAACUAAAAAGAUCCAGGGACGAACUCAGUGGCAACAGGGGAGGAGGGUGCGGGCGUGGGUUGGUGGAGGUCGUGGAGCAACUCGUCGACAAUGGCCACCACCGCUCCUGUCUCGGACGGUGCCCCUCUCCUUCAAGCCCGCCAUGGCCCCGCGGAGGAGCUCCUAUCCCAGACGGCGCCGGCGGCUCGAUACCCGCAUGAGGAGCCAUGUCGGCGGCUGCUGUGAUGAGGAGGUGCGCCCACCACCUCUCCACCUCGUGCGCCGCCGAUGUCGUCGUUGAGGUCGAGGAGGAGCCGCCAUCGGGGUACCACGCGCGGGGACAUAGAGCUUGCGCGGCGGUGGGGUAGCAUGACGUGGCUCCCUAGAGCACCGCCACAACAGGAAGGGAGGCGUGCCGCCUGGAGCUCCGCGGCGGCGCGGAUCGAGCUCCCCGAGGCGCCGAUGCCGCCGAGUUCCUCCUCUUCAUGCCACGACCCCGCCCAGCUCCACGCCACCUCUUGCGUCUCUCCAUCGUGCUCCCAGCCUCCGCCUUGCAAAGGCCAUCACCUCGCCCUGGAAUCGCUGGGUGUCGUCGGAUUUGAGAGAGCAGAAGAUAGAAAUGGGGAGGGAGGAAGACGAGAGAUGAAGCGCGGUGGAUAAGGUUGGGGUUACUGGGGGGAGACUUGUA